UACAGAGGUCUCAAGCGUUGUUCGGAUUCAUUGGGCGUAAAGAGCGUGUAGGCGGUCCGUUAAGUCGGCUGUGAAAGUCCAAGGCUCAACCUUGGGAUGCCGGUCGAUACUGCCGGACUAGAGUUCGGAAGAGGCGAGUGGAAUUCCCGGUGUAGCGGUGAAAUGCGCAGAUAUCGGGAGGAACACCUAUGGCGAAGGCAGCUCGCUGGGACGUUACUGACGCUGAGACGCGAAAGCGUGGGGAGCAAACAGG
rnacentral:rRNA from 1 species